rnacentral:rRNA from 1 species
GGAAUCUUCCACAAUGGGCGCAAGCCUGAUGGAGCAACGCCGCGUGAGUGAAGAAGGUCUUCGGAUCGUAAAACUCUGUUGUUAGAGAAGAACAUGCAGGAGAGUAACUGUUCUUGUAUUGACGGUAUCUAACCAGAAAGCCACAGCUAACUACUUGCCAG